AUUGAACGCUGGCGGCAUGCUUUACACAUGCAAGUCGAACGGUAACAGGUUAAGCUGACGAGUGGUGAACGGGUGAGUAAUGCAUCGGAACGUGCCCGAUCGUGGGGGAUAACGCAGCGAAAGCUGCUCUAAUACCGCAUACGAUCUGAGGAUGAAAGCGGGGGACCGUAAGGCCUCGCGCGAUCGGAGCGGCCGAUGUCGGAUUAGGUAGUUGGUGGGGUAAAGGCCCACCAAGACGACGAUCUGUAGCUGGUCUGAGAGGACGACCAGCCACACUGGGACUGAGACACGGCCCAGAAUCCUACGGGAGGCAGCAGUGGGGAAUUUUGGACAAUGGGCGAAAGCCUGAUCCAGCAAUGCCGCGUGCAGGAAGAAGGCCUUCGGGUUGUAAACUGCUUUUGUACGGAGCGAAAAGGUCCUUUCUAAUACAAGGGGCUCAUGACGGUACCGUAAGAAUAAGCACCGGCUAACUACGUGCCAGCCGCCGCCGUAA
rnacentral:rRNA from 1 species